rnacentral:rRNA from 1 species
UUGAACGCUGGCGGCAGGCCUAACACAUGCAAGUCGAGCGGAUGAAGGGAGCUUGCUCCUGGCUUCAGCGGCGGACGGGUGAGUAAUGCCUAGGAAUCUGCCUGGUAGUGGGGGAUAACGUCCGGAAACGGGCGCUAAUACCGCAUACGUCCUGAGGGAGAAAGUGGGGGAUCUUCGGACCUCACGCUAUCAGAUGAGCCUAGGUCGGAUUAGCUAGUUGGUGGGGUAAAGGCCUACCAAGGCGACGAUCCGUAACUGGUCUGAGAGGAUGAUCAGUCACACUGGAACUGAGACACAGUCCAGACUCCUACGGGAGGCAGCAGUGGGGAAUAUUGGACAAUGGGCGAAAGCCUGAUCCAGCCAUGCCGCGUGUGUGAAGAAGGUCUUCGGAUUGUAAAGCACUUUAAGUUGGGAGGAAGGGCAGUAAGUUAAUACCUUGCUGUUUUGACGUUACCAACAGAAUAAGCACCGGCUAACUUCGUG